GGGGUUGUACCGGUUUCGACGGGGAUCUUGAAGUUAGAGAAGCCAUUCGUGUCUCUCCACGUUAAACAGGGAAACUUAAAUACAAACGCUAACAACGAUUUAGCAUUCGCUGCCUAAUUAAGGCAACCGUCAGCCCGGGGUUUCCUGUUAUCCGGUAACUGGCGUCGACUCAACAGGGAACUGACCUGCCUAAGCUUUGCAGCAGGUCAAGAUUCAUGAAGCUACCGAGGUUCACCCCUGCCUGCCGGGAUGAACGGAGGGAAUCAAAAAAGACAUGGCUAUAAUGGUAGAAACUUUAAGGGAUGGGUUUUCGGACAGGGGUUCGACUCCCCUCAGCUCCAUAA
rnacentral:tmRNA from 1 species